UACGUAGGGCGCAAGCGUUAUCCGGAAUUAUUGGGCGUAAAGAGCUCGUAGGCGGUUUGUCGCGUCUGCCGUGAAAGUCCGGGGCUCAACUCCGGAUCUGCGGUGGGUACGGGCAGACUAGAGUGAUGUAGGGGAGACUGGAAUUCCUGGUGUAGCGGUGAAAUGCGCAGAUAUCAGGAGGAACACCGAUGGCGAAGGCAGGUCCCUGGCUAGGACUGACUUGAACUG
rnacentral:rRNA from 1 species